rnacentral:sRNA from 1 species
UCCGUAGGUGAACCUGCGGAAGGAUCAUUACCUAGAGUUUGUAGACUUCGGUCUGCUACCUCUUACCCAUGUCUUUUGAGUACCUUCGUUUCCUCGGCGGGUCCGCCCGCCGAUUGGACAACAUUCAAACCCUUUGCAGUUGCAAUCAGCGUCUGAAAAAACAUAAUAGUUACAACUUUCAACAACGGAUCUCUUGGUUCUGGCAUCGAUGAAGAACGCAGCGAAAUGCGAUAAGUAGUGUGAAUUGCAGAAUUCAGUGAAUCAUCGAAUCUUUGAACGCACAUUGCGCCCCUUGGUAUUCCAUGGGGCAUGCCUGUUCGAGCGUCAUUUGUACCUUCAAGCUCUGCUUGGUGUUGGGUGUUUGUCUCGCCUCUGCGUGUAGACUCGCCUUAAAACAAUUGGCAGCCGGCGUAUUGAUUUCGGAGCGCAGUACAUCUCGCGCUUUGCACUCAUAACGACGACGUCCAAAAGUACAUUUUUACACUCUUGACCUCGGAUCAGGUAGGGAUACCCGCUGAACUUAAGCAUAUCAAUAAGCGGAGGAAAAGAAACCAACAGGGAUUGCCCUAGUAACGGCGAGUGAAGCGGCAACAGCUCAAAUUUGAAAUCUGGCGUCUUUGGCGUCCGAGUUGUAAUUUGCAGAGGGCGCUUUGGCAUUGGCAGCGGUCCAAGUUCCUUGGAACAGGACGUCACAGAGGGUGAGAAUCCCGUACGUGGUCGCUAGCCUUUACCGUGUAAAGCCCCUUCGACGAGUCGAGUUGUUUGGGAAUGCAGCUCUAAAUGGGAGGUAAAUUUCUUCUAAAGCUAAAUACUGGCCAGAGACCGAUAGCGCACAAGUAGAGUGAUCGAAAGAUGAAAAGCACUUUGGAAAGAGAGUUAAAAAGCACGUGAAAUUGUUGAAAGGGAAACGCUUGAAGU